rnacentral:rRNA from 1 species
GGCAUGCGUAACAUUAGCUAGUUGGUAGGGUAAUGGCCUACCAAGGCGACGAUGUUUAGGGGUCCUGAGAGGGUGAUCCCCCACACUGGUACUGAGACACGGACCAGACUCCUACGGGAGGCAGCAGUGAGGAAUAUUGGUCAAUGGGCGCAAGCCUGAACCAGCCAUCCCGCGUGCAGGAAGACGGCGCUAUGCGUUGUAAACUGCUUUUCCAGAGGAAGAAAACCUCCGACGUGUCGGGGCUUGCCGGUACUCUGGGAAUAAGCAUCGGCUAACUCCGUGCCAGCAGCCGCGGUAAUACGGAGGAUGCGAGCGUUAUCCGGAUUUAUUGGGUUUAAAGGGUGCGUAGGCGGAUUAAUAAGUCAGUGGUGAAAACCUUCAGCUUAACUGGAGACUUGCCAUUGAUACUGUUAGUCUUGAGUACGGUCAAGGUAGGCGGAAUGUGUAAUGUAGCGGUGAAAUGCUUAGAUAUUACACAGAACACCGAUUGCGAAGGCAGCUUACUGGGCCAUUACUGACGCUGAUGCACGAAAGCGUGGGGAGCGAACAGGAUUAGAUACCCUGGUAGUCCACGCCGUAAACGAUGAUCACUCGCUGUUGGCGAUACACAGUCAGCGGCUAAGCAAAAGCAUUAAGUGAUCCACCUGGGGAGUACGGCCGCAAGGCUGAAACUCAAAGGAAUUGACGG